UACGGAGGAUGCAAGCGUUAUCCGGAAUGAUUGGGCGUAAAGCGUCCGCAGGUGGCUGUGUAAGUCUGCUGUCAAAGAGCAAAGCUCAACUUUGUAAAGGCAGUGGAAACUACAUGGCUAGAGUGCGUUCGGGGCAGAGGGAAUUCCUGGUGUAGCGGUGAAAUGCGUAGAGAUCAGGAAGAACACCGGUGGCGAAGGCGCUCUGCUGGACUGCAACUGACACUCAGGGACGAAAGCUAGGGGAGCGAAUGGG
rnacentral:rRNA from 1 species